rnacentral:rRNA from 1 species
AAUAGAUACCCAGGUAGUCCACGCCGUAAACGAUGAGUGCUAAGUGUUAGAGGGUUUCCGCCCUUUAGUGCUGCAGCUAACGCAUUAAGCACUCCGCCUGGGGAGUACGGUCGCAAGACUGAAACUCAAAGGAAUUGACGGGGGCCCGCACAAGCGGUGGAGCAUGUGGUUUAAUUCGAAGCAACGCGAAGAACCUUACCAGGUCUUGACAUCCUCUGACAACUCUAAAGAUAGAGCGUUCCCCUUCGGGGGACAGAGUGACAGGUGGUGCAUGGUUGUCGUCAGCUCGUGUCGUGAGAUGUUGGGUUAAGUCCCGCAACGAGCGCAACCCUUGAUCUUAGUUGCCAGCAUUCAGUUGGGCACUCUAAGGUGACUGCCGGUGACAAACCGGAGGAAGGUGGGGAUGACGUCAAAUCAUCAUGCCCCUUAUGACCUGGGCUACACACGUGCUACAAUGGAUGGUACAAAGGGCUGCAAGACCGCGAGGUCAAGCCAAUCCCAUAAAACCAUUCUCAGUUCGGAUUGU